GGGGUAAUAGUUCAUAUGGUUAGAAUUUUGGUUUGUCAAACCAAAGGUUAUGGGUUCAAGUCCCAUUUAUCUCG
rnacentral:tRNA from 1 species